UACGUAGGGAGCAAGCGUUGUCCGGAAUCAUUGGGCGUAAAGCGCGCGUAGGCGGCCCCGUAAGUCCGCUGUGAAAGUCAAAGGCUCAACCUUUGAAAGCCGGUGGAUACUGUGGGGGCUAGAGUCCGGAAGAGGCGAGUGGAAUUCCUGGUGUAGCGGUGGAAUGCGCAGAUAUCAGGAGGAACACCAAUGGCGAAGGCAGCACUCUGGGACGUGACUGACGUUGAGACGCGAAAAGCGUGGGGGAGCAAACAGG
rnacentral:rRNA from 1 species